CUACUGAGCAGCGCUGACCGCCCCCCUGACCGCCCCCCUGACCGCCCCCCUGACCGCCCCCCUNNNNNNNNNNNNCUCUGGGAGACUUCCCUGCACGAUGCGCUUUUGCCGGAAAAACCAGAAAGAGAGCUGCCCUGCCCGGGCUGCUGUCACCCGCGCAGCCCUAAGUGAACCAGACUCUGACCUGCGUCCUCAGAAAACGGGUGGCGGGUGCUUCAAUGCGAAGACUGGCUUGAGUUCUUGUACCUGUUGUGGAAUCCUGCCCCAAGGCCACAGGGGCGAGGCCUUGCCUCGAGGCCUCAGUCACAGCAGCAGAGCCCAGAACAAAGGUCACCUCCGGAGCUGACUGAGCCCCUCUCUGAUUGUUGCCAGAAGCCCCCCCGACCGUCACCAGCAGGCUUCCUGAUCGCAGUUAGGUAGGAUGCUCAUCCCCGCAGUCACCCCAUAGCACCCUAACUGAUCACCUAACACCAACCUUCCAACAGGAGCGUUCUUCGUCUCGAGGCCAUAAGAGUUGGCUGCUAACCCACGGUGGGCUCUCCCUGGCCGUCAGGAGGCCGGCCCGCUGUACUCGAAGAGCUCACGUUGACUCUGCUCUCUGCCCUCGAAAGCCUCACUCCUUUCUGAAACGCCCUCUGUCCGGACGUUCUUUUCCAGCCCGCACUUGGACUGCCAGCGACACCCAUCCCUCCCGGCAGGCCUCAUGGGUGAUGCCUUCUUCUCCCCUCUGUGACCUCACAACCCCCCACGGUCCCGGGGAACCCGACGGCAGAGAGACCUCAGCCCCAGGUCCGGGGACCCUCGUGGCCAGACCUGCCUCAAGCAGCCAAGGAGAGGGGCGCCUCCGCCCUUUCCCUGCUGAGUCCGCUGGUGCCGGGAGGUGGGCCAGGGCGCUGCUGACGACAGGCAACCUGUGUGAUGCGGUUUCCCCCCUGGGGGCAGGGAAACCUCAGGGCUGGCCCCACACAUUUCUGGGGACCGUGAACACAGUGCUGAUGGGUUUGGUCACACCUGUAAACCAUGGGCAGCGUCUGGCAGGCAGGACACAUCCCCCUGCCCAGGCCCUCUGGCUGCAGCUCUUAACACAAACAGCUGCUGUUUCCCCCCAAAAAGGGCUUUCUUCCAGAUGGUUCCUGGUCCAUGAGGAGCCACCACCCGGGACGUCCCGGCCCCCAGAGAGCACAGCGGGAGCCGGAGCGGCUGGUCCCUGCAGAAGCGGAGCUGGGGGGCUGCGGAGGGUGGUCAGGCGGCCUACAGCGCCACAGUUGAGGCAGGACUCGGGCCUGCUCACCACCGGAGCUCUGAGUUAUUGGGUAGCCAGAAUCCCAGGAAUUCAAAAGUUAGAAUUCCCCCGAUGUCAUCCCCUCCUGGCAGGACUGGGCUUCCCACCAUGGACUCGAAGGCCUCUGAGGCUGAGGCCCGCCGUCCAGCCAGGCCCGCCCGCCGCCCCCGCGGCGUUCCCAGGCUGA
rnacentral:lncRNA from 1 species